CCCAGUGUGAUUCGUCACACUAUCAUUAACUGAAUCCAUAGGUUAAUGAGGCGAACCGGGGGAACUGAAACAUCUAAGUACCCCGAGGAAAAGAAAUCAACCGAGAUUCCCCCAGUAGCGGCGAGCGAACGGGGAGCAGCCCAGAGCCUGAAUCAGUGUGUGUGUUAGUGGAAGCGUCUGGAAAGGCGUGCGAUACAGGGUGACAGCCCCGUACACAAAAAUGCACAUACUGUGAGCUCGAUGAGUAGGGCGGGACACGUGGUAUCCUGUCUGAAUAUGGGGGGACCAUCCUCCAAGGCUAAAUACUCCUGACUGACCGAUAGUGAACCAGUACCGUGAGGGAAAGGCGAAAAGAACCCCGGCGAGGGGAGUGAAAAAGAACCUGAAACCGUGUACGUACAAGCAGUGGGAGCACGCUUAGGCGUGUGACUGCGUACCUUUUGUAUAAUGGGUCAGCGACUUAUAUUCUGUAGCAAGGUUAACCGAAUAGGGGAGCCGAAGGGAAACCGAGUCUUAACUGGGCGUUAAGUUGCAGGGUAUAGACCCGAAACCCGGUGAUCUAGCCAUGGGCAGGUUGAAGGUUGGGUAACACUAACUGGAGGACCGAACCGACUAAUGUUGAAAAAUUAGCGGAUGACUUGUGGCUGGGGGUGAAAGGCCAAUCAAACCGGGAGAUAGCUGGUUCUCCCCGAAAGCUAUUUAGGUAGCGCCUCGUGAAUUCAUCUCCGGGGGUAGAGCACUGUUUCGGCAAGGGGGUCAUCCCGACUUACCAACCCGAUGCAAACUGCGAAUACCGGAGAAUGUUAUCACGGGAGACAC
rnacentral:rRNA from 2 species